rnacentral:sRNA from 1 species
UGUCUUAUUACACCGCAGCAACCGUGUGCUGAGCGCUUCUCAGUAUUGAUUAAACACAGUUGGUGUCGCCUAUGUUAACGUCAAAUAUAAAGUAUUGGUCAUGGACUGGCGCGUUUAUAUUAUCGCUACUGUUCUGGGGCCGAGUUAAUCUGGAUUGCCGUCUAAUCUCGUCAAAGCCCGAUAAUGCGUUAUUUAUCGGGCUUUUUCAUCUUC